UACGAAGGGGGCUAGCGUUGCUCAGAAUCACUGGGCGUAACGGGUGCGUAGGCGGGUCUUUAAGUCAGGGGUGAAAUCCUGGAGCUCAACUCCAGAACUGCCUUUGAUACUGAGGAUCUUGAGUACGGGAGAGGUGAGUGGAACUGCGAGUGUAGAGGUGAAAUUCGUAGAUAUUCGCAAGAACACCAGUGGCGAAGGCGGCUCACUGGCCCGUAACUGACGCUGAGGCACGAAAGCGUGGGGAGCAAACAGG
rnacentral:rRNA from 1 species